AAAACUUGUAAUCGAAAAUAGUUUUAUUAAUGCAAUCUGUUUUGAAUUUGAAUUCAAAUAGUAUGGUUAUUUAGAAUAAUUCAUCAGAUAAAGACAAGGAAGUUAUAAGACAGUUCCUUGAUGGAAGGAACUGCCUUAACUGCUUUUCUAAUAUAAAGUGGAUUACAACGCCUUCAUUGAUCCCUGCUAGAGCACCACACCUCAAUCAAAUUGUCCCAUUAACAAUAUGAGAUCAAGGGUGAAUCUACGAGAAGAACAAUGCAAGGAGGCAGUGGAUCUAUUGAAGCCACAUAGCGUGAAAUCUAAAAGGAGUAUUAAUUCUAGUACGUCUGCCAUCGGGCUUCAACCUGAGCAAAAUAGGGCAGUGAUCUGAUUUCAUUCUAGCAAGAUGAACAAGGCAAGCAUCAGGAUAUAGGACCCUCCAUUCAUCAGUGCAGAAACUUCUAUCCAAUCUCUCCUUAACCCAGCUAGUAGCCCAAGUAUAAUCUUUGGGAACUUUUGAUGUUGGAGAUUCCCACAAGAAGGCCGGAGAAAGUGAUGGUCUCUGUGGAAUUCCAAGACAAACAGAAAUGGUGUAUUGUAGAUUUGUAGUAUCCUUCCUUGCAAGAUCCGGAUGAAUCCAAUAUUAAGCACUAUUUGAGUAUUAUAUAAUUUUUUUGAUGGGGAAAAUACAAUUCUGAUUUCUGA